ensembl:miRNA ocu-mir-432 ocu-mir-432
UCUUGGAGUAGGUCAUUGGGUGGAUCCUCUAAUUCCUUACGUGGGCCACUGGAUGGCUCCUCCAUGUCU